AAGCGAGACGCGCAAAAGAGUCAGAAGUUAAACGCAAAGGUAUCGCGGCUCGCGCAACAGCAAGCAGCAGCUUUUACUGUAACCGCUCGGAGUUUCCCCGCGAAUGCAAGAGGAACUCUUCGUCUCGAGCAGAAUGAAUGGGUAUCAAGACACCAGAAACAGCGCUAGAGCGAAGGAAGCUGUUAAAAGAUGCAGUGUUGGGAGUCUUUUAACCUAGCCUGGUUCUUCUGGCGACUUGGCAGAGCUCACCCACCGAAGUCAGACCACUAUGGGCCGAAGCUGACCGAUAAAGUUCCAGACAUGAAGGAGACAGCGUCUUGUCUGUGGCAUCUCACAAUGAGAAGAGCUUUCAGCGUGUCGCGAGUUUCCAAAGUUGGUUCAGAAGAUACAUUGGAUGAGGUGGGGGCAAAAAACACUCCUGGAGACUUAUCCUAUCCUGCACCACUGUAAAGGUAAGCGUUAAUGUUCAGAUGGCAAGAGCACAUAAUAUGUAUACUGACUUAAAGAGAUUCAAAUGAAAGAUGACAAUUCUGAUUACUCACCAUCAAGUGGUUCCCAAUCAAAAAUCUGUACGAGUCUCUGUCUUCAGUUGAACACACAAAAUAUAGAUGUUGAAGAAUGUUGGUAACCAAACAGUUUCUAGUCCCCAUUGACUUAUAUAAAAAUACAAUGAAAGUCAGUGGCUACCAGCAUCUGUUUGGUUACCAACAUUUUUUUUUUUAAAUGCAUGCAGGUUUGGAGCAACAUGGGUUGAGUAAAUGAUGACAGUAUUUAAUUUUUUGGAGAAUUAUCCUUUAAAGGUGCACUCAUUCUUUUCCCCCCUUGUUAAAAGUUAUACACAAAAAGAAAUAGUGCUUAACAAAUAUUACGAAACAGUAAAAAGUAAAUGUGAUUUUAAAAGACAUAAUCAGUAGCCCAAUAAAAGCUUUUUUAUUUUAAAUGGAGUGGGUUGCCUCAUGGAGGCUACCACUUUAAGACACUUUCCUGCUGAAAACUAGUUAUUUUAACCAUCCUAUUAUUGCAAACUUUUACUUGCUGAAUAUAUUGUUCAUAGUGAACUAUGAAAACAAGCAUUUCUUCAAUGGUAUUAGUAAGUAAAUGUUUUUGGUUUCGCAUCAGGCUACAUCCAUAACACUGGAUGUCAGUAUGUCAUGUUAUAAAUUGCAACUAGCACAAUAUAAACCAAAAAAAAAUACUGAGCGCGCCUUUAAAGUAUCUGCUUUUUUCUCACCUUUUGAAUAGACUUAAGAUAAUAGUUCUUAUAAUGGAUCCUUUUCAGUAUUUAUUGAAUAAUAAAUUAUAAGUUUCAUAUAAAUAUGCUACAGAUCUUCCAUAUAACAUCUGUUCUCUUUUGUUGUUUCCUUUUCUUGCUUUCUCUGUCUCUCUGUUACUGCUUUCACUUGUAUUAAGGGCAGAUGUGCUAUAUUUAAGAUAUAGAUACUGAAUUUAAUCAUUUUUUUACAGCAAGACUGUGUUUGCUUUAUAGUCAUGUUAGCAAGACUGUGUUUGUUAAAAGCCAUCACCAAUGAUGAUGUGUAUGUCAACUCUAUUUUGAAUUACUUGUAUAUUCACUUAGCAACAACUUCUGUAUUGUAUUUUCAAAUGAAAAAGAAUAUUGAACUGGAAAAAAUGUUGGGCGGGGCUUGAUUUAAUAGUGAAGAAAUGAUCAAAUAUCAUUGGUUCAUAUGUUCGCCCCUCCCAUAUGGCCUUGAUUACAUCAGCAAAAAAUAUUUCAGUGCUAUUACAUCUCAACUAAAGAUUAUAAAAACUGUAAAUGUAAUUGUACAUUUUUUAUAGUGCACAAUAAGACAAAGGGGAGUAAAUACAGUCAAUUUUUUUGUUAUGUUGUGUUCCCAAACCUUCAAAAGGGCAUAUAAGUUUGAGAGCAGAAUUCAUUGUGUUGUAUUUUGGAGUAGGUGACCUGUGCUAUGUCCUUCCAGCAUAGAGAGGUGGGAUGCACCCGCUUGUCUCCACAGUGACCUCUGCGCAAACUGUCAAGUCGACUCACCAUCAGGCCACCGUUUGCCUCAGUGAACAUUCAACGCUGUCGGUGAGUUUAAGCUAAAUAGAAAAAAACCAUCGACCGUUGAUUGUACCCUGCGGCCGAGCCCCACCGAGCCUCGUCUCUCCCCACCGCGGGCAAAGACGAAUUCUAGCAUGCACUCCUGGAGACACAACGGUUUUGUCUUCCAACACUACUGGCAGCCUCGGACGGUGCCUGAAAAGUUUGACUUUGAAAACUACGACAAAAGGUCACAAUCAACAUUCAUUGCUGUCGGUGGGUUGGACAGUUAAAGAAAGCUCACUGAACAAUGAAUGCAACUGUGUCCCAGAUUUCCUUCUCGCAAUGUGCCAUCGGAUAUAAAUAUUAACUGACAGAGCUGGGUAUACUCAUUUGCUCAUCUGAGUUUGUUUGUGGCUCUUCGACCGAGAACACCAUGUCAAAGGCCCCUUUAAGGCCAAUGAAUGUUUCCUUUGUAUAAUAAAUAAAGACAAGACCUAUCCAAA